GUGGGGAAUAUUGCGCAAUGGGCGGAAGCCUGACGCAGCGACGCCGCGUGGGGGAUGACGGCCUUCGGGUUGUAAACCUCUUUCGCUUCCGACGAAGCCUUGUUGUUGUGAGACGGUGGGGUGACGGUAGGGGGAGAAGAAGCACCGGCCAACUACGUGCCAGCAGCCGCGGUAAUACGUAGGGUGCGAGCGUUGUCCGGAAUUAUUGGGCGUAAAGAGCUCGUAGGCGGUGUGUCGCGUCGGCCGUGAAAACCUGUGGCUUAACUGUGGGCUUGCGGUCGAUACGGGCAUCACUGGAGUUCGGCAGGGGAGACUGGAAUUCCUGGUGUAGCGGUGAAAUGCGCAGAUAUCAGGAGGAACACCGGUGGCGAAGGCGGGUCUCUGGGCCGAUACUGACGCUGAGGAGCGAAAGCGUGGGGAGCGAACAGG
rnacentral:rRNA from 1 species